rnacentral:misc_RNA from 1 species
GCAAACUUGGUCAUUUAGAGGAAGUAAAAGUCGUAACAAGGUCUCCGUUGGUGAACCAGCGGAGGGAUCAUUACCAGAGUUCUCGCAACUCCCAACCCUUCUGUGAACAUACCUAUAGUUGCUUCGGCGGACUCGCCCCAGCGUCCGGACGGCCCUGCGCCGGCCCGCGACCUGGAACCAGGCGGCCGCCGGGGACCCCAAACCCUGUAUCUCAUCAGCAUCUCUGAAUCCGCCGCAAGGCAACCAAACGAAUCAAAACUUUCAACAACGGAUCUCUUGGUUCUGGCAUCGAUGAAGAACGCAGC